UACAGAGGUCUCAAGCGUUGUUCGGAUUCAUUGGGCGUAAAGGGCUCGUAGGCGGUUCGUCACGUCGGGAGUGAAAACUCGGAGCUUAACUCCGAGCCUGCUUCCGAUACGGGCAGACUAGAGGUAGGCAGGGGAGAGCGGAACUCCUGGUGUAGCGGUGAAAUGCGCAGAUAUCAGGAGGAACACCGGUGGCGAAGGCGGGUCUCUGGGCCGUAACUGACGCUGAGGAGCGAAAGCGUGGGGAGCGAACAGG
rnacentral:rRNA from 1 species